rnacentral:rRNA from 1 species
UACGGGGGGCGCAAGCGUUGUUCGGAUUUACUGGGCGUAAAGGGCGCGUAGGCGGCCAGCGCAAGUCAGUUGUGAAAUCUCCGGGCUUAACUCGGAAAGGUCAACUGAUACUGCGCGGCUAGAGUGCAGAAGGGGCAACUGGAAUUCUCGGUGUAGCGGUGAAAUGCGUAGAUAUCGAGAGGAACACCUGCGGCGAAGGCGGGUUGCUGGGCUGACACUGACGCUGAGGAGCGAAAGCCAGGGGAGCGAACGGG